CGAACCACGUUGAUUUCUUGCAGUGGAAGAGUGAAGUUCAACGUAUUGCAAAAGAAAUGGAAAGCUCCUUCUUCACGUAUUUAGCCGAAGAAGAGGAAUUGUACGUUUUGACCUCCUCUUUAACCGAUACCUCUUUAUUGACAUCAAAUGUAAACAUCUCGUGUGUUGAGACUGAAGACUAUCUUUCUGCCCUGUCAAAAAAGAUAAUUCAAAGAUACUCCACCGUUGAGGAUAAACGUAAAAGAGUUAAAUCACUGACUGCCAAGCUUUGUCGUGAUAUAACCGCCGAUGUACUGCUUGAUAGAGGAAAAAAGUUAUUUUUGGAAAGUGCCUUGAAGUGUCUUAAGAAUGAACUAGAAAUGUUGUCUUUUGCCAUAGUACAAAGGAAAGCAAGCGUUGUAAAAUUGGGAAACUCAGCAAAAGCAAGAACAAAGAUAAGACAGAAGAUGUCUAGUGAUCAGAAAAACAUUGACAAAAAAAAUGCGCAUAUUCAACGUAUUACAGUUUGUUGUGCAUGGUCAAGAAGAAACAGUAAGACUCGACGAGUGUUCUCUGGUUGAUGGCAUGUUUCCCUGGACUCUCAAUGAAAUUUCUGUUCGACUGAAAUGUAAAAUUGUUGACAAGUUCGAACAUUUAGAAAGACUGGAGGAGGAGUUAAUUCUUAUUAAGCAAGAGAUGAGUAAUUAUUUGCGAUAUUACAAAGAUAUCGUUAUUCCAAAGUU